rnacentral:lncRNA from 1 species
AUCCCCCGUGUAUGUACAGCACAUACUUUUUUUUUGCUGGACCAUUUAAUUGUAUACAUCAUGGAUCUGCAUCCCCAAAUACAUCCUCCAACAUAACCACAAUACCAUUGUCACACCAAAGAACAUGGCUAUAAUAUUGUCACCUAGUCAUAGUCACAUUUCCCCUAGUUUCCCUAUAGUGUUCUUUAUAGUUGUUGUUGUUGCUUUUUAAAUUCAGGAUCCAAUCAAAAAUCACACAUUGCACCAGGCACAGUGGCUCAUGCCUGUAAUCCCAGCACUUUGGGAGACUGAGGUGGGUGGAUCACCUGAGGUCAAGUGUUCAAGACCAGCCUGACCAAUGUGAUGAAACCCGUCUCUAGUAAAAAAUACAAAAAUUAGCUGGGCAUGGUGGCAGACUACAGUAGGCUGUAGUCCCAGCUACUCAGGAGGCCAAGACAGGAGAAUUGCUUGAACCUGGGAGACGAAGGUUGCAGUGAGCCGAGAUCACACCACUGCACUCCAGCCUGGACAAGAGCGAGACUCCCUCUCAAAAAAAUAAAAAUAAAAAUAAAUCACACAUUGCAUCUAGUUGUUGUUGCUCCCAUUCUGUGAUUUUUGUGCUGGAUGUUCAAGGUAUUGAGCCUGUGAUAGGAAUUGCUUGAGCAACAUCACAGAGGACCGUGAAGGGAGGGGACAUGGUGGUGUCUGUUCUCUCUGUAGCAGCAGCAGUGAGGGGUUGUUGUGAAUGUUCUGCAGAGAGGGAUGUCUCUCCCAGGCUGCCACAGUACCCUGCUCCAGCCACACUGAAUUAAGCACC